GAAUUCGCCCUUAGAGUUUGAUCCUGGCUCAGGACGAACGCUGGCGGCGUGCUUAACACAUGCAAGUCGAACGAGGAUGUCCUUCGGGACAUUCGAGUGGCGGACGGGUGAGUAACGCGUGAGCAAUCUGUCCUGCAAAGGGGGAUAACAACUGGAAACAGUUGCUAAUACCGCAUAAGACCACGGCCUCGCAUGGGGCUGAGGUAAAAGCAGCAAUGCGAUGCAGGGUGAGCUCGCGUCCCAUUAGGCAGUUGGUGAGGUAACGGCCCACCAAACCGACGAUGGGUAGCCGACCUGAGAGGGUGAUCGGCCACAUUGGGACUGAGACACGGCCCAGACUCCUACGGGAGGCAGCAGUGGGGAAUAUUGGGCAAUGGGCGCAAGCCUGACCCAGCAACGCCGCGUGAGGGAAGAAGGUUUUCGGAUUGUAAACCUCUGUCCAUGGUGACGAAAAGAUGACGGUAACUGUGGAGGAAGCCCCGGCUAACUACGUGCCAGCAGCCGCGGUAAUACGUAGGGGGCGAGCGUUGUCCGGAAUGACUGGGCGUAAAGGGCGUGUAGGCGGCAUUGUAAGUCCGGAGUGAAAGUCCUGCUUUCAAGGUGGGAAUUGCUUUGGAGACUGCAGAGCUUGAGUACAGAAGAGGUAAGCGGAAUUCCCGGUGUAGCGGUGAAAUGCGUAGAGAUCGGGAGGAACACCAGUGGCGAAGGCGGCUUACUGGGCUGUAACUGACGCUGAGGCGCGAAAGCGUGGGGAGCGAACAGGAUUAGAUACCCUGGUAGUCCACGCCCUAAACGAUGAUAACUCGAUGUUAGCGAUAUACAGUUAGCGUCUUAGCGAAAGCGUUAAGUUAUCCACCUGGGGAGUACGCCCGCAAGGGUGAAACUCAAAGGAAUUGACGGGGGCCCGCACAAGCGGAGGAGCAUGUGGUUUAAUUCGAUGAUACGCGAGGAACCUUACCCGGGCUUGAAAGUUAGUGAAUGAUUCAGAGACGAAUCAGUCCUUCGGGACACGAAACUAGGUGCUGCAUGGCUGUCGUCAGCUCGUGCCGUGAGGUGUUGGGUUAAGUCCCGCAACGAGCGCAACCCCUAUGUUUAGUUGCCAGCAUGUAAUGGUGGGGACUCUAAACAGACUGCCAGCGUAAGCUGAGAGGAAGGUGGGGACGACGUCAAGUCAUCAUGGCCCUUACGUCCGGGGCUACACACGUGCUACAAUGGAUGGUACAGCGGGCAGCUACCUGGUAACAGGAUGCUAAUCUCGAAAAGCCAUUCACAGUUCGGAUUGAGGUCUGCAACUCGACCUCAUGAAGUUGGAUUCGCUAGUAAUCGCGUAUCAGCAAUGACGCGGUAAAUACGUUCCCGGGCCUUGCACACACCGCCCGUCA
rnacentral:rRNA from 1 species